CAAAGUCCAGAGGCAUCAACACUAAUUCACAUCCUACCCUGUUCCUAAAAGCUUCAGCGAGUUCUUUCCCUACAUAAUAAGAAAUUUAUAAGUUCUUCCUCAAUUAGUAGCCCUGACAGUGAGAUUUUGGGUGCCCUGGAUGCUGUCACUUUGCUGCCUUGCAUGUCAGCUCCUCACCUGACAAAGAAGAACAAUCCUACUCAUUUUCCCUUGCCCUGUUCAUCCCUCCAGACUCUCCAUCAGAGGCUCUGCUUCUCACUGGGACUUGCUGCUUGCCCAGCAUGCCUUAGUCAAUAAGCCAUAAGCACCAAGCUAAGAAGAACUGCUGUCAUCAGACAAAAAGGCCUCCAAGUCCACAUCCCUAACAACCUAUUUUAAUAACAAGAGCAAUAACGGGAUUUAUUAUGCAUGCGGCUUUCUGCAAUCAUUUCUGAAGAGAAAAUUAGUUUGAAGCCUCAGGCGACAGUUGAACUCUCAGAGGCGCCUAAAAUAAAAUAAGGAGGGGG
rnacentral:lncRNA from 1 species